CGUUCCUCCCUUGUAUUCACACAACACAUAGCAAGGUGUCUACUCCAGGUCCAACAAGGAUUACUUCUUGGAGCACUCCUUUAAUAUUGAUUACGGCGUGGGCGUCUUCCUUGGCUUCAUUUAUAUAGCAAUUUAUGCCAAGUAUACUGAGAACAAGGACGAGCUGAAAAGCAGUGUAGGAUGGUGGACUUUAAUCCUGGGCGCAUUAUUCACCUACACUUACAUAGAAGAUAAAAGUGUAGUGGAGCUGAGAUAUGGCACUUUCAUGCUCAUCAUAUCAGCCAUGAUGCUUGGAAGUCAGUUGAUGAAAGCGGUGAGUUAUAAUAUUAAACACUA